rnacentral:rRNA from 1 species
UACGGAGGAUCCAAGCGUUAUCCGGAUUUAUUGGGUUUAAAGGGUGCGUAGGCGGAUUGAUAAGUUAGAGGUAAAAUGUCCGAGCUCAACUCGGGAACUGCCUCUAAUACUGUUGAUCUAGAGAGUAGAUGCGGUAGGCGGAAUGUAUGGUGUAGCGGUGAAAUGCUUAGAGAUCAUACAGAACACCGAUUGCGAAGGCAGCUUACCAAUCUAUAUCUGACGUUGAGGCACGAAAGCGUGGGGAGCAAACAGG